GAAGAAGAUCAAGAGAAAGAGAGAGAUAUAGAUAAAGAAAUUGAUCCAAGUGCAUUGCUAAUGGAUACCACAAUGUUUGAUGAAACAAACCCAAUAAUGGAGUGGCUGAAUGAGGAUGUAGAGGAUCCGAUUGUGGAUGGAGCUGAUGCAGCUAGUGCUGUUUUUGAGCAAAUAAGGCGCCUCAACUCAAGCAGGAAGGCGUCUUAUGUUGGUUCAAAGGGUAAUAACAAGAAAAGAAAGAGGAAUGAUGAUGAUGAGAAUGAGUUUCUUGAAACUGAGAGUGAGGAUGAUGGAGAAGAGAAUGAAUAUGUUGAUAAUGACAUCGAGGAUGAUGAUGGGGUGAGUGAGGAUGAUGAGGAUGGUGAACAAGAUCAGCUAGAGACACAAAUGCAACUUGAAGAAGAGACACAAGUACAAGUUCAAAAGGAGGCACCAACAAGCACUGGCCAUUUGGAGACUAGAUCUGGACGACUUAUUAGGAAGAAGACCAAGAACGUCAACAAUCUCUACUCGUAAAUUUGAAAUGGCACGUGAGCAAAGGAUAUCAAGAAGCUUUUGGAUGUUGGGAAGCUUGGAGCUGAUGCUUCAAAUAAGCUGAUGGUUGUCUUUUGGAGAUGUUUCUAUGUUUAAUGCUUUAAAGUCUUUUGGUUGUACUGGACUAUUUAAACUUUGAACUAUGCUAUGAUGGUUGAACUGAUGCUGGACGGUUAAGGGUUUAUGUCAGAGGCAACUUUAUAACUAAUGUGUGCCUGUUAUGUUGGACUGUUAAGGGUUAUGUUGGAGGCAAUUUUAUAACUAAUGUGUGUCUGCUAUGUUGGAUUGUUAACUGUUAUGUUGGAGGCAACAUUAUAGCUAACGUGUGCCUGUUAUGUUGGGCAGAUUCAAUUUUCUUAAUCCCUAGAGCUUAUUUGCUAAAGUUUAUAAGAUC